UACGAGGGGUGCAAGCGUUGCUCGGAAUUAUUGGGCGUAAAGGGUAGGUAGGUGGUCUUAUUUGUCUGGGGUGAAAGCCUUGAGCUUAACUCAAGAAGUGCCCCAGAAACGGUAAGACUAGAGUCUUGGAGAGGGUCGUGGAAUUCCCGGUGUAGCGGUGAAAUGCGUAGAGAUCGGGAGGAACACCAGCGGCGAAGGCGGCGACCUGGACAAGUACUGACACACAACUACGAAAGCGUGGGGAGCAAACAGG
rnacentral:rRNA from 1 species